rnacentral:rRNA from 1 species
UACGUAGGGUGCGAGCGUUGUCCGGAUUUAUUGGGCGUAAAGGGCUCGUAGGCGGCGUGUCGCGUCGGGAGUGAAAGCCCGCUGCUUAACCCCGGUUCUGCUUCCGGUACGGGCAUGGCUGGAGUGUGGCAGGGGAGACUGGAAUUCCUGGUGUAGCGGUGGAAUGCGCAGAGUAUCAGGAGGAACACCGGUGGCGAAGGCGGGUCUCUGGGCCAUUACUGACGCUGAGGAGCGAAAGCGUGGGGAGCGAACAGG